rnacentral:lncRNA from 1 species
AGAGUGAUAGAUUUCUCGAAAAAACGUGAACAGAAAGAGCCGAGAACAAGUGACAGAGACAGGGAGAAACGGAAGAGAAAGAGAGGGUCCUGUGCUUUUGGUUUGUAGGUAUGGAAGAGAGAGAGAGAAUCAAGAUUCAAAAAAGAAAGAAACAGAGUUAGAGAGACAAUCAAGAUUCAAAAAAGUAAGAAACAGAGAUAGAGAGAGAGAAUCAAGAUUAAAAAAGCACAGAGAGAGAGAGAGAGAUGAUUAGCAAAGCGAAGAGAUAUGACCUCCUGAGGAACUCCAGUAAGUGACCUUCCAUGUGAAAUAUCUUUAGGGCUUUCUGCAAGACCCCCAAUUGUAGAGGAGGGAGACAAGGAAGAAGGUAGAGAGAGAGAGAGAGAGAAGUGACACAGACAGAGAGCACUGUUCACUUGUUCCCUCGGGAAUAAUUUU